rnacentral:rRNA from 1 species
ACGGAGGAUGCAAGCGUUAUCCGGAUUCAUUGGGUUUAAAGGGUGCGUAGGCGGGAUAGCAAGUCAGUGGUGAAAGCCUACAGCUUAACUGUAGAACUGCCAUUGAUACUGUUGUUCUUGAGUACAGUUGAAGUAGGUGGAAUGUGUGGUGUAGCGGUGAAAUGCUUAGAUAUCACACAGAACGCCGAUUGCGAAGGCAGCUUACUAAGCUGUUACUGACGCUGAGGCACGAAAGCGUGGGGAUCAAACA